GUUCGGGAGGCUAAGACGAACAAAUUAGCUAGCUCGAAGGGAAUGAUAUCCUAAGAAUAAGAUUCAUGUGUGUGCAGGAGGUUGUUAGGCUAUUUUACUCUACUUCAACUGCAUGAGGGAACUGCAGCUGCACAAGAACAUAUCCAUCAUGAAGAAGGAAUUGGCAGUUUGAAAUGUCUGCUUCCUCAAUGCAAGUCUAAUCGGACAUAUUGACUGCUGAUGUUCAAAACACACCUCCUUUCUUGGAAGCCGGUGGGCGCCAUCCCAACUUCUCCUUUUGCGUUUGACCUCCAGAAACAAACCAGGGUCACUGUCCUUGGUCCUCUGGGGCUGUUCAGACUUUUGCCAAGUCCUCACUCAGAAGCUUCCAUGGCUGCAAUGUGAAAUCCUCCCAGCUGCCACUGCGGUUUGGUCAACAAAGCCACAUAUUCUAAAGGGCAAAGAGUUUUAGAAGCUGAGAAGGCCUUAAUGUAUGUUUCAGUUUACAUGAACACAUGGCCACAUUAACACAACAGAUAUCCAUGCUGGUAUUUGAACAGCGCUCUGCAUACAACCCCUGGUGUAUAGUUUUUACUUGAUGUUUAUUGAGUGCAUUACAUUGCACAUGGCUUAUAAGAAUAUUACAUGUAAGUGCUUCUAC